rnacentral:rRNA from 1 species
GAUGAACGCUAGCUACAGGCUUAACACAUGCAAGUCGAGGGGCAGCAUGGAAGAAGCUUGCUUCUUCUGAUGGCGACCGGCGCACGGGUGCGUAACGCGUAUCAAACCUGCCUCAUACUCGGGGAUAGCCUUGCGAAAGUAAGAUUAAUACCCGAUGUUGUUAUGUUUCCGCAUGGUGAUGUAACCAAAGAUUUAUCGGUAUGAGAUGGUGAUGCGUCCGAUUAGGUAGUAGGCGGGGUAACGGCCCACCUAGCCAUCGAUCGGUAGGGGUUCUGAGAGGAAGGUCCCCCACACUGGAACUGAGACACGGUCCAGACUCCUACGGGAGGCAGCAGUGAGGAAUAUUGGUCAAUGGACGAAAGUCUGAACCAGCCAAGUAGCGUGCAGGAUGACGGCCCUCCGGGUUGUAAACUGCUUUUAGUUGGGAAUAAAAAAGAGGACGUGUCCUCUAUUGUAUGUACCUUCAGAAAAAGGACCGGCUAAUUCCGUGCCAGCAGCCGCGGUAAUACGGAAGGUCCAGGCGUUAUCCGGAUUUAUUGGGUUUAAAGGGAGCGUAGGCGGAUUAUUAAGUCAGUGGUGAAAGACGGUGGCUCAACCAUCGUUAGCCAUUGAAACUGGUAGUCUUGAGUGCAGACAGGGAUGCUGGAACUCGUGGUGUAGCGGUGAAAUGCUUAGAUAUCACGAUGAACUCCGAUCGCGAAGGCAGGUGUCCGGGCUGCAACUGACGCUGAGGCUCGAAAGUGUGGGUAUCAAACAGG